rnacentral:rRNA from 1 species
GAUGAACGCUGGCGGCGUGCCUAAUACAUGCAAGUCGAACGCUGAAGGAGGAGCUUGCUCUUCUGGCUGAGUUGCGAACGGGUGAGUAACGCGUAGGUAACCUGCCUGGUAGCGGGGGAUAACUAUUGGAAACGAUAGCUAAUACCGCAUGACAACAGUUAUUGCAUGAUAACUGUUUAAAAGGGGCAACUGCUCCACUACCAGAUGGACCUGCGUUGUAUUAGCUAGUUGGUGAGGUAACGGCUCACCAAGGCGACGAUACAUAGCCGACCUGAGAGGGUGGACGGCCAAACUGGGACUGAGACACGGCCCAGACUCCUACGGGAGGCAGCAGGAGGGAAUCUUCGGAAAUGGACGGAAGGCUGACCGAGCAACGCCGCGUGAGGGAAGAAGGGUUUCGGAUCGUAAAGCUCUGUUGUAAGAGAAGAACGAGUGUGAGAGUGGAAAGUUCACACUGUGACGGUAGCUUACCAGAAAGGGACGGCUAACUACGUG